rnacentral:rRNA from 1 species
AUGGCGGAGGAACCGUCCGCCAAACGUUACCAUGGCGACACUUCGAACAAGAGCAGCAACCUCGCCGACGUUCACGUCCCCGGCGAGAAGCACGAGUACACCGGAACGCUCAAAGGGGUUGAGCUCCACGGCAAGGAGACGCUGGAGAUCGUCUGCACCAGCGAACCGGACAAGGCCGACCAGAUGAUGAAAAAUGUGUGUCUCCCCCCUUGUAGGCCCAAGCGCCUCAAAGACUUCCUGCAGGAGGAGAAAUUGUACACGUUUGUUGGUUUCAGCAUUGGAGGUGACAAGCGGAAGCUUGGAAAGUCUGGCUUGGAAAUCAACCCCAACAAC